AGAAUCAACGCUGGCGGCGUGCCUAACACAUGCAAGUCGCACGAGAAAGGGUAGCAAUACCUGAGUACAGUGGCGCACGGGUGAGUAACACGUGAAUAAUCUACCUCCGGAGUGGGGAAUAACCUAGGGAACCUGGGCUAAUACCGCAUAACACUUACGAGUCAAAGCAGCAAUGCGCUUGGAGAGGAGUUCGCGGCAGAUUAGCUAGUUGGUGGGUAAUGGCCCACAGGCGAUGAUCUGUA
rnacentral:rRNA from 1 species